UGGGGAAUCUUGCGCAAUGGGCGAAAGCCUGACGCAGCCAUGCCGCGUGUAUGAUGAAGGUCUUAGGAUUGUAAAAUACUUUCACCGGUGAAGAUAAUGACUGUAGCCGGAGAAGAAGCCCCGGCUAACUUCGUGCCAGCAGCCGCGGUAAUACGAAGGGGGCUAGCGUUGCUCGGAAUUACUGGGCGUAAAGGGAGCGUAGGCGGACAUUUAAGUCAGAGGUGAAAUCCCGGAGCUUAACUUCGGAACUGCCUUUGAUACUGGGUGUCUUGAGUGUGAGAGAGGUAUGUGGAACUCCGAGUGUAGAGGUGAAAUUCGUAGAUAUUCGGAAGAACACCAGUGGCGAAGGCGACAUACUGGCUCAUUACUGACGCUGAGGCUCGAAAGCGUGGGGAGCAAACAGGAUUAGAUACCCCCGUAGUCCCUGAGCGGGCUGGCAAGGCGCAU
rnacentral:rRNA from 1 species